rnacentral:rRNA from 1 species
UACAGAGGGUGCGAGCGUUAAUCGGAAUUACUGGGCGUAAAGCGUGCGUAGGCGGUCCGCAAAGUCUGAUGUGAAAGCCCCGGGCUCAACCUGGGAACUGCAUUGGAAACUAACGGGCUCGAGUGUGGCAGAGGGGGGUGGAAUUCCACGUGUAGCAGUGAAAUGCGUAGAGAUGUGGAGGAACACCGAUGGCGAAGGCAGCCCCCUGGGCUAACACUGACGCUCAGGCACGAAAGCGUGGGGAGCAAACAGG